UUGUUCCUGGUCCUCUGAGUGGGCGGGCUCAGUCAAUGGUUGCUGCUCCAGCAGUCAGCUAUGUGUGCAGCUACGCUUGCGUGACAGAGUUGAGUCUUCAUUCAUGACUCAAACAUCCUCAGCACGCUUGGGUCAAUGAGUGCUCCUGCCUCAGCUAAACUAAGGAUUGUGGAAAAAGUGUGUAUUGUGGUGCAUACCUGUACUCUUUACUUAAGUCUGAAGCCAAGAAAUCUCAAGUUCAAGGAUAAUCUGAACAAUGUAGUGAGACCCUUCCUGCAUCUCAAGGAAAGUUGUGGAAAAGCUCCUGCCUCCAGGUUCCUGCCCUGCUUGAGUUCCUGCCUUGGCUUCCAUUCGUGAUGGAUGGUGACCCAGGACAUGUACCAAAUCCAUCUAUGUGUUUACACGCAUGUUCAGCACCUGUGUGUGGGACAUCCUGCCUGCUCCACCCAGGGGUCUCUACCCUCAUUCUCUCGGCUUCCUGUCAUGAAAUUUCUGUGAUCGCGAGAAGCAUAAGUUAUUCACUCUGUUUCUUUGGGGUCCAUACUCCCACAAUCGGGCUUUCUGUAUUUUCCCCAUGAGAGGCACUGAGUAAAUAGAUUACAAUUGAUUUGCAUUAAAACUCAGUCUGCCUGGUGAAAUAUCUGUGGAAUUUGCAUUGUAUUGUUUC